GAUGAACGCUGGCGGCGUGCCUAACACAUGCAAGUCGAGCGAUUCUCUUUGGAGAAGAGCGGCGGACGGGUGAGUAACGCGUGGGUAACCUGCCCUGUACACACGGAUAACAUACCGAAAGGUAUGCUAAUACGGGAUAAUGUAUUUUGAUCGCAUGGUCGAAAUAUCAAAGCUCCGGCGGUACAGGAUGGACCCGCGUCUGAUUAGCUAGUUGGUGAGGUAAUGGCUCACCAAGGCGACGAUCAGUAGCCGACCUGAGAGGGUGAUCGGCCACAUUGGAACUGAGACACGGUCCAAACUCCUACGGGAGGCAGCAGUGGGGAAUAUUGCACAAUGGGCGAAAGCCUGAUGCAGCAACGCCGCGUGAGCGAUGAAGGCCUUCGGGUCGUAAAGCUCUGUCCUCAAGGAAGAUAAUGACGGUACUUGAGGAGGAAGCCCCGGCUAACUACGUGCCAGCAGCCGCGGUAAUACGUAGGGGGCUAGCGUUAUCCGGAAUUACUGGGCGUAAAGGGUGCGUAGGUGGUUUCUUAAGUCAGAGGUGAAAGGCUACGGCUCAACCGUAGUAAGCCUUUGAAACUGAGAAACUUGAGUGCAGGAGAGGAGAGUAGAAUUCCUAGUGUAGCGGUGAAAUGCGUAGAUAUUAGGAGGAAUACCAGUUGCGAAGGCGGCUCUCUGGACUGUAACUGACACUGAGGCACGAAAGCGUGGGGAGCAAACAGGAUUAGAUACCCUGGUAGUCCACGCCGUAAACGAUGAGUACUAGCUGUCGGAGGUUACCCCCUUCGGUGGCGCAGCUAACGCAUUAAGUACUCCGCCUGGGAAGUACGCUCGCAAGAGUGAAACUCAAAGGAAUUGACGGGGACCCGCACAAGUAGCGGAGCAUGUGGUUUAAUUCGAAGCAACGCGAAGAACCUUACCUAAGCUUGACAUCCUUCUGACCUCUCCCUAAUCGGAGAUUUCCCUUCGGGGACAGAAGUGACAGGUGGUGCAUGGUUGUCGUCAGCUCGUGUCGUGAGAUGUUGGGUUAAGUCCCGCAACGAGCGCAACCCUUGCCUUUAGUUGCCAGCAUUAAGUUGGGCACUCUAGAGGGACUGCCAGGGAUAACCUGGAGGAAGGUGGGGAUGACGUCAAAUCAUCAUGCCCCUUAUGCUUAGGGCUACACACGUGCUACAAUGGGUGGUACAGAGGGUUGCCAAACCGUGAGGUGGAGCUAAUCCCUUAAAGCCAUUCUCAGUUCGGAUUGUAGGCUGAAACUCGCCUACAUGAAGCUGGAGUUACUAGUAAUCGCAGAUCAGAAUGCUGCGGUGAAUGCGUUCCCGGGUCUUGUACACACCGCCCGUCACACCACGGGAGUUGGGGGCGCCCGAAGCCAGAUAGCUAACCUUUUGGAAGCGUCUGUCGAAGGUGAAAUCAAUAACUGGGGUGAAGUCGUAACAAGGUAGCCGUAUCGGAAGGUGCGGCUGGAUCACCUCCUUUCUAAGGAGAAUUACCUACUGUUUAAUUUUGAGAGUUCUUAACAGAACUUAAUAUGGGGGUGUAGCUCAGCUGGGAGAGCACUUGCCUUGCACGCAAGGGGUCAGGAGUUCGAUCCUCCUCAUCUCCACCAUUAAUAUCUUGAAAAAGAUAUGUUAGUACUUUGAGCAACGGGAUGUGAGCGAAUGCGAGCAGACGUUGGCGAUGUACGUUAGUACUUUGAAAACUGCAUAACAUUUAGUGAUAUGACAUCAUUUUAUAUAUAGACAAGAUAAGUCUUUAAAAUAUCAAACCUAGUAAUUAAGUUUUUAACUUAUUACAACUUUAAUAACUUGGUCAAGUUAUUAAGGGUGCAGGGCGGAUGCCUUGGCACUAGGAGCCGAUGAAGGACGUGAUAAGCUGCGAUAAGCUUCGGGGAGUUGCACGUAAACUUUGAUCCGAAGAUUUCCGAAUGAGGAAACUCACUUAGAGUAAUGUCUAAGUAUCGUUAAGUGAAUACAUAGCUUAGCGAGGGGAACCCGGGGAACUGAAACAUCUAAGUACCCGGAGGAAAAGAAAGAAAUUCGAUUCCGUAAGUAGCGGCGAGCGAACGCGGAACAGGCCAAACCAAUGAAGUUUUCUUUGUUGGGGUUGCGGACAUGCAACAUGGAUGCACUAUCGUAAAUGAAGAGAGUUGGAAAGCUCCGCCAAAGAAGGUAAUAGCCCUGUAAUUGAAACGAGAAAGCUACUAGCAUGAUCCAGAGUACCACGGGACACGUGAAACCCUGUGGGAAGCAGGAGGGACCAUCCUCCAAGCCUAAAUACUACCUAGUGACCGAUAGCGCAU
rnacentral:rRNA from 1 species